UUACGACCAUAUCACGUUGAAACACCGGUUCGCAAACGAUCACUGAAGUUAAGCACCAUCGGGCCUGGUCAUUACCUAGAAGGGUAACCAUUUGGAAAUUCCAAGUGCUGUAGG